rnacentral:tRNA from 1 species
CAGAGAGUAGUUUACUAAAAAUACCAGCUUUGGGAGCUGGAGAUGAAGGUUUAAGUCCUUUUUCUCUGA